GCGCCCUGCCUCUCAGCUCCACUCUCAGAAACUCCUACCGCCCGUCGGAAGAGGGAAGCAAUACUCUCGUGUCAGCGUUACAAGGAGCCAGUGGAAGAGGUGCUGUCACAUCUGGUGACUCCCACAUGUGUCAGCAGUGACCUACUGACAGAUAGAACGAAAAGCUCAGCAGCGCUGGUUUAAGAAGACAGAUUGGGGAGAUUGAGCGGGCAUGGGGACAGUCAACAGUUUAACUCAGAUUUCACUUUCUUGAUGGAUGCAAGAAGGUUCACUUGAGGCGGAAUUCAGCUUUUAAAAUGCUAAAAGGUUUAUAAAUGAAGGGAAAUAACUAUGCAACGAACACAAAUGCCAGAAACGGCAACUAAUUCUCGGCUGAUCAAUUUCAUCAACUUGAACUGGACAAAUAUCAAUUCAAGAACAGAUUGUAAAUCAGAGGAAUGGAUUCAAAUGAUAAAUGACUUCACGAUUUAUUGGAAACACAAGUGAUUCACCAAUGAAAUGUAACUACUCAGAAAUCAAGCUCAACCCAUGGUGCUAAUGUCAAUCUGAACGCAAUCCUUAUCAUCCUCAGUAGUUAUAUGGUUAAUAGGCGUAAAAUUGUGGUUUGAAGUUGUGGCUUCAAUAUAAGGUGAAAGGAAAAGGGUCAUAUAACCUGUUUUGCUGACUGUGGUCCUCGGUGGUUUGAUUGGUAGAGAUUAGAGGUAGUCCAGACUGUUUUUCUGAGAAUACGAGUUACAAGGUGUUUAACCAAAAAAAAUCAACAUUUAUGACACAAUUCUGGAAGGAGUGUGACUUGAACCCACGUCUGCUGGAGCGGAAAUAGGGACACUGCUACUAUACCACACGAUGCUGAGGUGCAAGGUGUUUUUUUCGAUUAUAUCCAAAAGCGCUUUUAGAUGCAAAUGAAUGUCUUUUUUUUUCUGUCACCAAAUCACUCAUGGUUAGGGUUACAAGGUGUUUACGCUUGGAGACAUGGCAGUCAUCCAUUUGCUUAAUUAGGGCUGGUCGAUGAGUGCCCAAAUUCCCAAGAAAGUGUUUGGAAUAUCACGUUGUAAGCAAUUGUGCUUAAAACUGUCUACAGAUGUCUGCCGCUAUCCAAAAGUACAGCGUUCCUGUGAAACCUUUCAUAAGCCAAAAUAGUGUAAAGUGAAGAAGCAAUUACCAUUAAUUUAUAGGGAAAAAACUUUGAGUGUUCCCAGACCCAAAACAUAACCUUCCAAAUCAUACCAAAUAACACACAAAACCUAAAGUAACACUAAUAUAUAGUAACAGCGGGAAUGAUAUGAUAAAUACUCAAUAUAUAUAAAGUAGAAAUAAUAUAUGUACAGUGUAGUUUCACUCACCAGAAUCGGGAAGACAAUGAGCACACUAAAAGGCUGAGGGGUGGUGGUGGCGGUAAUGGUAUGUUAGGCAGAGUUGUCAGAGAUUGGGGGGUAGAAGAAGGAGGAAGAGGAUGAUCUAUUAACAUUUCCAGGGAAUGCAUUUGUCAGCGCCACUCUCGGUGCACACACUUUUCCAUAGAAGCGAAAAUCCUCUUUCGGUUAGCAAAAACAGGUACAAGUAAACAACUCUUUAUCCGAAAUCCUGAAAUCCCAGAAGCUGUGAAAUCUGAAGGUUUGUUCGUGAAGUUUUUUUUCUCAUUAGCAAGAUUGUUUCUCGUGCAAACAGUUAACCCAACU